rnacentral:rRNA from 1 species
UACGAAGGGGGCGAGCGUUGUUCGGAAUUACUGGGCGUAAAGGGCGCGUAGGCGGCCCUCUUUGUCGCGUGUGAAAGCCCCGGGCUCAACCUGGGAACGGCGCGCGAAACGGGGGGGCUGGAGUUCGGGAGAGGAGCGUGGAAUUCCGGGUGUAGCGGUGAAAUGCGUAGAUAUCCGGAGGAACACCGGUGGCGAAGGCGGCUUCCUGGACCGACACUGACGCUGAGGCGCGAAAGCUAGGGGAGCAAACGGG